rnacentral:rRNA from 1 species
UACGUAGGGUGCAAGCGUUAAUCGGAAUUACUGGGCGUAAAGCGUGCGCAGGCGGUUUUGUAAGUCUGUCGUGAAAGCCCCCGGCUCAACCGGGGAACUGGCACCGAAACGCCCCGUCUCGAGGGACGUAGGGGGACCUGGAACUUCCGGUGGAGCGGUGAAAUGCGUUGAGAUCGGAAGGAACGCCCGUGGCGAAAGCGAGGUCCUGGACGUCUACUGACGCUGAGACGCGAAAGCUAGGGUAGCGAACGGG